AACGAACGCUGGCGGCAUGCCUAACACAUGCAAGUCGAACGAGACCUUCGGGUCUAGUGGCGCACGGGUGCGUAACGCGUGGGAACCUGCCUUUAGGUUCGGAAUAACAGUGAGAAAUUACUGCUAAUACCGGAUGAUGUCUUCGGACCAAAGAUUUAUCGCCUUUAGAUGGGCCCGCGUUGGAUUAGCUAGUUGGUGGGGUAAAGGCCUACCAAGGCGACGAUCCAUAGCUGGUCUGAGAGGAUGAUCAGCCACACUGGGACUGAGACACGGCCCAGACUCCUACGGGAGGCAGCAGUGGGGAAUAUUGGACAAUGGGCGAAAGCCUGAUCCAGCAAUGCCGCGUGAGUGAUGAAGGCCUUAGGGUUGUAAAGCUCUUUUACCCGGGAUGAUAAUGACAGUACCGGGAGAAUAAGCCCCGGCUAACUCCGUG
rnacentral:rRNA from 1 species